GUGUCAGCAGCCGCGGUAAUACGAGAGGCCCAAACAUUAUUCGGAAUUACUGGGCUUAAAGAGUUCGUAGGCGGCAUGGUAAGUAGGGUGUGAAAUCCCUCGGCUCAACCGAGGAAUUGCGCUCUAAACUACCGUGCUCGAGGAAGCUAGAGGUGAGCGGAACUGAUGGUGGAGCGGUGAAAUGCGUUGAUAUCAUCAGGAACACCGGAGGCGAAGGCGGCUCACUGGGGCUUUUCUGACGCUGAGGAACGAAAGCCAGGGUAGCGAACGGGAUUAGAAACCCUAGUAGUCC
rnacentral:rRNA from 1 species